rnacentral:lncRNA from 1 species
CUGUGGAAAGAUUCAAAUCUCAAGGGAGCACUGAAUUAGCUUCAUGCAGCCCAUGGAUUCUCACUAUGUCUACCUUGGUGGGCACAGAGAAUGUAUAGUGAAUAGGGAUAAAAAAUAGAGUUGGUUUUCUUUUCCCAGAAACAACUUGUCGUAAUAUCUAAAUAGCUUAAUAUUUUGAAUUUGCAAAAUGAGGUUCUCUAGAUCCUAAUGCGAGCUUCUUUCUUUAAGUAGUUUAUUCCCCCUUUCUCUGUAGAAAUCUUCAUUUACCUUUUCCUCGCUGACUUUUAAACGUGUGAUAAAAAUCUAACAUGGAGAAGGAGUUGUGGGCACUUAGCUCAACAAAAACUGUUUAAGAUGACUUUUUCUUCUUAAUCAUAGAGCUUUUUUUCUCGUUUGGGUUUAGCAAAGAUGAGAGUAGUGCUGUGCAGAUGGUAAGUAUAGAAGCUUUUGAAUAAAAGCUGGUCAUGGUUAACCCUCAGACUGUAGCUCUAAGAUGCUUUAAGAAUGUGUUCUGAGCCCUUCGAGAGCUGUGAAAUGAAUAUGGCCAUUUAUGAGGCAGUAAUAAGAACCUUCAGUGAUAGUUUGACUCAGAAGCUAAUCUUAAGGGUUGUGAGUUUUUAUCAAUCACUCAUCCUUUUCCUGGACAUGUGGCUUAAAACAACCUCUUCCUUGGAUGAAUCCUCCAUGUUCUAUUUUUCUUCUCAUUAUCUGUCUGUUGUUGUUGUUGUCAUUCCUACUGUUCAUUUCCUCUUUCACUGCAACUUUUGUAUUUGGUUCAUCUUUACCUUCUUAUUUUCACGAUUUCUCUGACUGGCAAUCACUCCUUAGAAAGCUUCACAAAUCAUGUCAAGCUGUCACCAUCUCCUCCUUAUUCUGUUCCUUUUGCUACUUCUCACUCAUUUUCUUUUCUUCUUUUCAGUUUUGUAGGCUCCUACCAGUGAAAGCCUCCUCACAACUCUCUUCUUCUCCCCAAGACUUCGAAACCAAAAUCCCUUGUCACUCUUCUCAGAAGCAAUUCCUUUGUUACCCUCAUUGUAUGGAGGAGAAAGCUGGCACCCCAGAGACUGGCAAUCACCUGAGGCAGCAGGGUCAUAGCCACUGACUUCCAGGUCAACAUCACUUCAAAAUGGCGGCAUGCACGAAGACCCUUCAUUUUUACCUGUGGGUGUCCCAGAAAGUCGUGAAACAGAAAAUUUCACUGAUGUCAAAGGGUCUUCUUCCCCUGGAAGGCCCUAAUGAGCAAAGGUGCCCAUGAAAACAAAAAUUUAAUAUGGGAGAAACAAAACGUCUGGUAAAUCCAUGUAUGAUAAAGGAUCAUUUGUUCUCAAUAGGUUUUUACUUCCAUCACCC